rfam:Ovis aries breed Texel chromosome 3, whole genome shotgun sequence.
UCCCUGGUGAUCCAAUGGUUAAGACUCUGCACUUCCAAUGCAGGGGACGUGGGUUCGAUCCCUGGUCAGGAAA